rnacentral:rRNA from 1 species
CAGUAGCCGCGGUAAUACGUAGGGUGCGAGCGUUAAUCGGAAUUACUGGGCGUAAAGCGUGCGCAGGCGGUUGUGUAAGACAGGUGUGAAAUCCCCGGGCUUAACCUGGGAACUGCGCUUGUGACUGCACAGCUAGAGUAUGGCAGAGGGGGGUGGAAUUCCACGUGUAGCAGUGAGAUGCGUAGAGAUGUGGAGGAACACCGAUGGCGAAGGCAGCCCCCUGGGCCAAUACUGACGCUCAUGCACGAAAGCGUGGGGAGCAAACAGGAUUAGAUACCCCUGUAGUCCCUGUCUCUUAUAC